rnacentral:rRNA from 1 species
UACGUAGGGGGCUAGCGUUGUCCGGAAUCAUUGGGCGUAAAGCGCGCGUAGGCGGCCAGAUAAGUCCGGUGUGAAAGCCACAGGCUCAACCUGUGAAUGCCGCUGGAAACUGUCUGGCUAGAGUCCGGGAGGGGCGAGUGGAAUUCCUGGUGUAGCGGUGAAAUGCGCAGAUAUCAGGAGGAACACCAAUGGCGAAGGCAGCUCGCUGGAACGGAACUGACGCUGAGGGGCGAAAGCGUGGGGAGCGAACAGG